ensembl:rRNA 5S_rRNA 5S ribosomal RNA
GCUUAUAAAUACCACCUUAGGCACGCCCGAUCUCGUCUGAUCUCGGAAGCUAAGCAGGGUCGGGCCUGGUUAGUACUUGGAUGGGUGACCGCCUGGGAAUACCAGGUGCUGUAAGCA